rnacentral:miRNA from 1 species
UGAGGCAGGAGAAUUGCUUGAACCCAGGAGGUGGAGGCUGCAGUGAGCUGAGAUCAUGCCACUUCACUCCAGCCUGGGUGACAAAGCGAGACUCUGUCUC